GAGAAGACCAGGAGACAGCCAUAUCUUAGGGGAAUUGUCACAAGACAAUGAAGACCUCAAUUCUAACAACCCACAACAGGGCAAGACACACGAUGAAUUCAUUCAAUGAGGAAAUCUCCUGAGAGGGAGUAGAGUGAACUCAGGACUCUUCCCGCGAGGGUACACUGCAGCAGGAGCCCCUGCAACCAAAUGGGGGCUGGGAACUCCUGUGGGUGAGAACUGUCUUGCUUGGGUAGACAGCAGAAGGGCCAGAAAAGAAGGAGCAAGCGAGGAGUCUCUGGUUUGUGUCUCACCAUGUCCAUCAGAGGGUGAGUGUCGACAGCAGAGGGUGUGUGUCAGUGUGACAACAGAGUGCCCAUGCUCUGAUGCCACAGUGAGGAAAGCGGCCACAGUCUGCCAAUGAGAAUGACAAAAGCAGACAACACUGGGCAAGAAUGGGAAUGCUCAUUUUUGCUGAGUUCAGAGUUCUACAGAGCAAGGUCAGUAACUGCAAAGGACAGGAAAGAGCUAAGCUUCGCCUUCAAAAACAUGCUGCAAAUCCCACGGCCAAGUAAGCUGAUGAGCAGAAUUGGAAAUAAAGUAGAGUCCUUAUGAUUAUCCAUCCGAAA